rnacentral:rRNA from 1 species
AUUGCACGCUGGCGGCAGGCUUAACACAUGCAAGUCGAGCGAGCGGCGGACGGGUUAGUAAUGUCUGGGAAACUGCCUGAUGGAGGGGGAUAACUACUGGAAACUGUAGCUAAUACCGCAUACCAUCAGAUGUGCCCCGAUGGGAUUAGAUAGUAGGGGGGGUAAUGGCUCACAUGGGCGACGAUCCGUAGCUGGUCUGAGAGGAUGACCAGCCACAUUGGAACUGAGACACGGUCCAGACUCCUACGGGAGGCAGCAGUGGGGAAUAUUGCACAAGGGGCUCAAGCCUGAUGCAGCCAGGCCGCGUGUGUGAAGAAGGCCUUCGGGUUGUAAAGCACUUUCAGCGAGGAGGCGUUACUCGCAGAAGAAGCACCGGCUAACUCCGUGCCAGCAGCCGCGGUAAUUG